CCUACGGGAGGCAGCAGUGGGGAAUUUUGGACAAUGGGCGCAAGCCUGAUCCAGCCAUGCCGCGUGUGGGAAGAAGGCCUUCGGGUUGUAAACCACUUUUGUCAGGGAAGAAACGGCUCUUACUAAUAUUGGGAGCUAAUGACGGUACCUGAAGAAUAAGCACCGGCUAACUACGUGCCAGCAGCCGCGGUAAUACGUAGGGUGCAAGCGUUAAUCGGAAUUACUGGGCGUAAAGCGUGCGCAGGCGGCUUUGCAAGACAGAUGUGAAAUCCCCGGGCUCAACCUGGGAACUGCAUUUGUGACUGCAUGGCUAGAGUACGGUAGAGGGGGAUGGAAUUCCGCGUGUAGCAGUGAAAUGCGUAGAUAUGCGGAGGAACACCGAUGGCGAAGGCAAUCCCCUGGACCUGUACUGACGCUCAUGCACGAAAGCGUGGGGAGCAAACAGGAUUAGAUACCCUGGUAGUCCACGCCCUAAACGAUGUCAACUGUUGUUGCGGCUUGCUGUUCAGUACGAAGCUAACGCGUGAAGUUGACCGCUGGGGNGUUGCGNGAGUUAGAGNGAGAGUGNGNGNGNGNGNGCGAGNGCGACGAGGAGAGG
rnacentral:rRNA from 1 species